UACGAAGGGGGCUAGCGUUGUUCGGAAUUACUAGGGCGUAAAGCGCACGUAGGCGGAUAUUUAAGUCAGGGGUGAAAUCCCAGAGCUCAACUCCAGAACUGCCUUUGAUACUGAGGACCUUGAGUUCGGGAGAGGUGAGUGGAACUGCGAGUGUAAGAGGUGAAAUUCGUAGAUAAUUCGGAAGAACACCAGUGGCGAAAGGCGACUCACUGGCCCGAUACU
rnacentral:rRNA from 1 species